GGAAGUAAAAGUCGUAACUAGGUUUCCGUAGGUGAACCUGCGGAAGGAUCAUUACAGUGUUCCCUGCCCUUCGGGGUAGGAUCGCCACCCUUGAUUAUUUAUGAGUGUUGCUUUGGCGGGCCUCGCGGCCUGGCCGCGCCCCGGCUUCGGCGGGGGAGCGCCCGCCAGAGGAUUCUACAAACCUGAUUAUUAGUGUCGUCUGAGUACUAUAUAAUAGUUAAAACUUUCAACAACGGAUCUCUUGGUUCUG
rnacentral:misc_RNA from 1 species